rnacentral:rRNA from 1 species
AUUGAACGCUGGCGGCAUGCCUUACACAUGCAAGUCGAACGGCAGCACGGGUGCUUGCACCUGGUGGCGAGUGGCGAACGGGUGAGUAAUACAUCGGAACAUGUCCUGUAGUGGGGGAUAGCCCGGCGAAAGCCGGAUUAAUACCGCAUACGAUCUACGGAUGAAAGCGGGGGACCUUCGGGCCUCGCGCUAUAGGGUUGGCCGAUGGCUGAUUAGCUAGUUGGUGGGGUAAAGGCCUACCAAGGCGACGAUCAGUAGCUGGUCUGAGAGGACGACCAGCCACACUGGGACUGAGACACGGCCCAGACUCCUACGGGAGGCAGCAGUGGGGAAUUUUGGACAAGGGGCGAAAGCCUGAUCCAGCAAUGCCGCGUGUGUGAAGAAGGCCUUCGGGUUGUAAAGCACUUUUGUCCGGAAAGAAAUCCUUGGCCCUAAUACGGUCGGGGGAUGACGGUACCGGAAGAAGAAGCACCGGCUAACUACGU